UCCCUUCGGGGACGCUAAGACAGGUGGUGCAUGGCUGUCGUCAGCUCGUGUCGUGAGAUGUUGGGUUAAGUCCCGCAACGAGCGCAACCCUUGUUNAUUAGUUGCCANGCAUUNAAGUUGGGCACUCUAAUGAGACUGCCGGUGACAAACCGGAGGAAGGUGGGGAUGACGUCAAGUCAUCAUGCCCCUUAUGACCUGGGCUACACACGUGCUACAAUGGACAGGUACAACGAGAAGCGAACCUGCGAAGGCAAGCGAAUCUCUNAAAGCNNGKUUCUCAGUUCGGACUGCAGUCUGCAACUCGNACUGCACGAAGCUGGAAUCGCUAGUAAUCGCGGAUCAGCAC
rnacentral:rRNA from 1 species